UACGUAGGGUGCGAGCGUUGUCCGGAAUUAUUGGGCGUAAAGAGCUCGUAGGCGGUUUGUCGCGUCGGCUGUGAAAACUCGGGGCUCAACCCCGAGCCUGCAGUCGAUACGGGCAGACUAGAGUGCGGUAGGGGAGACUGGAAUUCCUGGUGUAGCGGUGGAAUGCGCAGAUAUCAGGAGGAACACCAAUGGCGAAGGCAGAUCUCUGGGCCGUAACUGACGCCGAGGAGCGAAAGCAUGGGGAGCGAACAGG
rnacentral:rRNA from 1 species